UGUGCCCUUUGGAUUUUAGGAUUUCAAGGUGAAAAGGAAUUCUAGAUCAAUGAGUAGAAAUCCCCAAAUCCUUGUUUCUGCUUUUCCACCUAAACUCAGUCUUUUGGAGCAGGGACAAGUAGCCUUAUUUUCAAAUGAGAAAACUGAGCCUUAGACGCUUGCCCCUAACGACAUAGCUGAAGCCAUCACUUGAACUUGAUGUCUGUCUAGUUCCAAGGCUCAUGACUGAACUACUGUGCCCCUCAAAGAGCAUGGAAUAAACACCAACAAAUAGAAAUUGUGGAGACAGGGACUUGUAAUGCAUAUCCUUCUGCCUUGUGACUUGAUGAUCAGCUGGAAAACACAGACAGGAGGCUUUUCAUAUGGGGUGACUCAUUACCAACAGAGAGAGCCCAUCCUGCUGCUCUCAGCCUCCUUAGCAUUGCAAACUAGGCUGCCUAUGGCUGUGGGCUCUGACCGUGACCCAACUCAGAAGCCUGCACAUCCCAUGUCUCCUAUUUCCUCCCUCCUCCCUAGCAAACAUUUCUAGAUUCCUCCCUAACACUGGGUCAGAAGCUCCUCCAUUUGAGAAGUCUGGAGGGAAACUUCCUUCUAAUUUGGAAACCCCAGUCCUAUAGGUCCAGUGGCUCUAAGCUUUGCUGCUGAGUCUCCAAGGAAACCAUUGCUAUUUGUGACUGUUUGGAGCUCAAGAAGUAAUUCUUACCUGCUCUGGCAAGACUGACAGUGUCAUGACAGCUUCAAGAGGCUGUCGUUUCCACAACGAGAGAUUCUGUAAAUCGAUUAUUAAUGAAGCGCUGCCAUAUUUUAAGUGACUCUCUUCUUUGAGGGAGCGUGUUUAUAUUUAAUUAUUGAAAUGUGAGCUGUGCAAUGGCACAGUAGCACAAAAGUCAGCUAUUAUCCCCCCCAAAUGGUUCAAAAAUCAAUCUUCAUUCCAAAACCCAUAAUAAAAAAAUAAAAAAAUUGCAAUUUAUUGAGAAAAACUAAAGACAUACUCUGUCAGAAAAGCUAUCAUUAGUUGUGCUAAAACUAAUAUGUACACAUUUUUAAAGAGAGAUGCGCGUAAUUAUGCAAAAGAAUUUUAAGUACUUAGUGAAUGGAGGACCCACUGAAUUGUCACUAUCAUUGGUAGUUUGACAUUUGCCCUGCUUCUGCCUGUCACACCAACCGUGGAGGCAGCUGUUAUUAGAGAUGUGUAUGAAUAGUAAUAAAAAAAAAUUUACCCGGGGUUACCAUGCUUCCAUGCUUUCUUGAGUGUGAGCAGCUUGCGCUAACAAAGUUUUGACCUCUUCUGGCCCCAAGACUUUUCCUAUAGGGCUGCUUCUGAAAUUCUGUGAGUAAGGAAGGGCCUUGAGUAGAGGAUGAGAGAGUAGGGUGACAGGAGAACCUUCUCAGUUGACAAUAAUAGUCCCCGAAUUUGUAUAUACAAGGGCUGGGGCAGCGAUCUCAAUGGAAGGUGAGCAUCACAUGGCAUUUUACCUAAAGGUGAGAAAACUGUCUCUAUCAAAGAACAGAUGGGUGCUGUCAAAGCCUAUGAGAACGCAAACCCUUCUUCCCAACCCACCGGCCAUGCCGUCACAGGUUCUUCACACUUGGUUCUGAGAUUUGAGGAGAAUGGCAGGGCUCCUGGAGUCUAAGUGGUAUGUGACGUGAUUGGAUCUGUGUUUUAGAAAGAA